GAUGAACGCUGGCGGCGUGCCUAAUACAUGCAAGUCGAGCGAACGGACGAGAAGCUUGCUUCUCUGAUGUUAGCGGCGGACGGGUGAGUAACACGUGGAUAACCUACCUAUAUUACUUGGAUAACUUCGGGAAACCGGAGCUAAUACCGGAUAAUAUUUUGAACCGCAUGGUUCAAAAGUGAAUUACGGUCUUGCUGUCACUUAUAGAUGGUUCCGCGCUGCAUUAGCUAGUUGGUAAGGUAACGGCUUACCAAGGCAACGAUGCAUAGCCGACGUGAGAGGGUGAUCGGCCACACUGGAACUGAGACACGGUACAGAGUCCUACGGGAGGCAGCAGUAGGGAAUAUUACGCAAUGGGCGAAAGCAUGACGGAGCAACGCCGCGUGAGAGAUGAAGGUCUUCGGAUCGUAAAAAUGUGUUAUGAGGGAAGAAAAAAUGUGUAAGUAACAGUGCACAUAAUGACGGUACCUAAAAAGAAAGCCACGGCUAACUACGUG
rnacentral:rRNA from 1 species